CUCUUUCGGCGGGUACGCGGACUUUGAGGGGAGGAACUACAGAUUACGGAGAUAACGAGGAAGCAAAUUCCAAAGCUGAGGAGCUGAGUGGCUGAAGGCUCUGCUCCCAAUGGUGACAAAGCGGACAUAGGGAACAGUGAGGUUAAUUGAAGAAAAGGAGUGUCUGAGAAGGUGUGGCGAUAUGAACAAGACUAUUAAGUGUAGGCCAGCACUUAAUUCCGACUCUCUGGUGGAGACUUGUUGCCAGAAGGAUGAGGAGCAGAAGUGUGAAGAGGAAGGCUGUGCAACUCACAAACUCAAAGAAGUAAAGCGGUCCACAAGACGCACAGUGGGACACGACCUCCUCCAUCACGAAAGCCACAAACGACAGCAGCUGAGGGGACACAAAUGAAAUGUAAGUGCAUCAAGUAGCCACCAGUAGGCAGCAGCAGAUUAUUUACUUGGGGUAACUCAAGGUAAAUGGAAAGGUUUGGUCAAAUUGCUCUCAAAAUUAAAACAAUUGUCUUUAACCUGAUGGAAGCUACUUUAACACAUGGCACUGUAGGCAGAUUCACUGAUUUGUUUUUGUUUUGUUUUAUUUUUGAGCUUUUCAUAAAGAAACAUCUAAAA
rnacentral:lncRNA from 1 species